CAAUGUUGAGUUGAUACCUGGGAGAUGUUGGCUUCAGUUUGCUUAACUUUCAGGUGGAUUUGGAGAAGUCCCUUUCGUGCGACCUUUCCAGUGCUUUGAGGAUCUGCUGAAGUACAUACUAACAUCAUUGUUGCUGAGUUUACCCAAGCCCAGCUUUGGGAAGAGGGUGGAGCGAUAGCAGUUCAAGCAAUGGCAAAACCUAUAUCAUCGCUCACUACAGAUCCUGUUCAGUUGACAUAAGAAGGACCCUGGGAUGCAUUCCAUCAGGACCAGGGGCCCUACCUAUCCUCGGGCCCACAAGUUUGUUCGGCUGAUAAUGAAGAGCAAUGGACCAUGACAAAUGGAAGUGAGGUAUUGGUGAAAAAUAACCAAACAAUAUUUUGUUUGAAUUAAAGAAAAUGUAUUCACAUGGAGCAGAUGACUUCAGUGGGAGAUAUACUGGAGAAACAUGUUGAAAGGUUUAUUCCAGAAACCAGUGGAGAACCAGCCACAUUCAGAGAAGACAUAAGUCAACAGUGAAAUCAGAUCAAGCAAUGGGUAGAGAUUCAAACACACCUAAGAAGGUCACAAUGCCAAAGAAAGCUAUCAAUACAUAGAAGGGUCACAGCCUGAAACCUCGACUGUUCAUUCCUUUCCGUAGAUGCAGACUGGCCUGCUGAAUUCCUCCAGCAUUUUGUCUGUGCUGCUCUAGAUUUACAGCAUCUGCAAAAUCGCCUGUGUUUAUCAGUAGGUAUUUCUGUAUACUGUAAUCAUUCAUAGAGGAAAAUAAGGGUAUUAUUUUUAUGUGUAUACAGCAUAUAACUAAGUCACAUGUGUAACUGAUGAAGUAAUUGCAAGUGAAACCAAAGUACAUAUGAUGGUUGGUAACUCAUCUUCAGUAAAGAGUUGGCAACUGUUAGAGUUUCUUUAGUUCGGUAUUUGUCAACUCUACAAUACAUCAGAGGCAAUCUCCAUGCAUUUGAACCUACAACCUUCUGACUGCAAGGUGUGGAUAAACAACAAUGUCAAUGGUGCUCUAUGUCACAGAGUCCGGAAUUAUGGUGAUGGUCAGACUGCCGAAAGAGGUUUGGAGGGAAUAUCUGGCUCAGCAGCUAAUCAAUGAGUGAGUUAGAAAUGAGAAAUGUUGCUUCA